AGCAUAUCAAUAAGCGGAGGAAAAGAAACCAACAGGGAUUACCUUAGUAACGGCGAGUGAAGCGGUAAAAGCUCAAAUUUGAAAUCUUCGGAAUUGUAAUUUGUCGGGUAGAAUUUGUUUUUUAAAGAAAGUUCACUGGAAUGUGACGCCACAGAGGGUGAUAGCCCCGUUAACUAAAGAAAACUAUUUAAUUCUAUUCCAAAGAGUCGGGUUGUUUGGGAAUGCAGCUCAAAGUGGGUGGUAAAUUCCAUCUAAAGCUAAAUAUUGGCGAGAGACCGAUAGCGAACAAGUACAGUGAUGGAAAGAUGAAAAGAACUUUGAAAAGAGAGUGAAAUAGUACGUGAAAUUGUUGAAAGGGAAGGGAAAGGGGGAGAUAAUUCAAGUUAAUACCCAGUGUUACUUGACCACAUCUUGCUCUUUUCACCCGUCUUGAAACACGGACCAAGGAGUCUAACGAUUAUGCAAGUAUUUGAGUAAAUCCCCAAAUGCGGAAUGAAAGUAAUUGGUCAAACCUACCCUCCUGUUCUUAUGAACGGGAGAGGAAGCAUAAUUAUUAGGACCCGAAAGAUGGUGAACUAUACCUGGAUAGGGUGAAGCCAGAGGAAACUCUGGUGGAAGCUCGUAGCGGUUCUGACGUGCAAAUCGAUCGUCAAAUCUGGGUAUAGGGGCGAAAGACUAAUCGAACCAUCUAGUAGCUGGUUCCUGCCGAAGUU
rnacentral:rRNA from 1 species